CUGGAACCCUACGAGAGGGACCACGCCGUGGUGGUGGGGGUGUACCGGCCCCCCCCCAAGGAGAAGUGACGUCACCAGACCCCACCAAGGGGCGUGACCUGAGCCGAGGAAGGGGGCGGAGCCUCCAACAAGCCCCGCCCCCACCCCCAGUUGGGGAUUGGGGGGAAUUUGGGGCCUUUUGGGGGUGGGGGGAGGGGAAAAAAGGGGAGGUUUUGGUAAAUAAAGAACGAAAUUCGUUAA